rnacentral:rRNA from 1 species
CGCGUAGGCGGGUAUUUAAGUCAGGUGUGAAACUCCGAGCUCAACUUGGAGAUUGCAUUUGAAACUGGAUAUCUUGAGGGCAGGAGAGGAAAGUGGAAUUCCUAGUGUAGCGGUGAAAUGCGUAGAUAUUAGGAGGAACACCAGUGGCGAAGGCGACUUUCUGGACUGUACCUGACGCUGAGGCGCGAAAGCGUGGGGAGCGAACGG